GCUGGGGUGAAGGCACAUCAGCAGUUUCACAGGAUCAAUGGAGAGGGGCCUGGGAACUCCGCUGGGGCUGCUGUUGGUGUUGCUAUGCUGGGUGAGAGGAAUGCAGGUGGAACAGAAUCCUCCAGCGCUGAGUCUUCAUGUGGGAGCUGACUCUGAUCUAAGAUGCAAUUUUUCUGCCAUUAUGAAAAGUGUCCAGUGGUUCCGACAAAAUCACAGAGGCAGCUUCAUCAAUCUUUUUUACCUGGCUCCAGGAACGAAGGAGAUUGGGAGGCUAAAGUCAACAUUCAAUUCUAAGGAGCGCUAUAGCACCCUGCACAUCAGGGAUGCCCAGCUGGAGGACUCUGGCACCUACCUCUGUGCUGCUGAGGCACAGUGCUCCCAGCCAGCUUACAGCCUGGCUCCAAACUGCAGCUGGGUGUGCACCACAAUUGAUAAGCGACACCUGAACUCAGAUAUGUGUCUUACAGAUGAUUUUGAGGACAAGAGCACAUUUUUGACUCUGGAAGGUGUUACAAUAGACCCUGGUUUAGUUUCUGUCCACCAGGGGGUGGACUUUCCUAACACGAGAUCCUUAUCUGUGUAA